GAUCCUUACUAAGAACUGUUUCUUUUCAUGGUUUUGUUUGGUUGGUUGGUUGGUUGGUUUGGUUUUUUGAGACAGGGUUUCUCUGUGUAGCCUUGGCUGUCUUGGAACUCACUCUGUAGACCAGGCUGGCCUUGAACUCAGAGAUCUGCCUGCCUCCUGAGUGCUGGGACUAAAGGAGUGUUCCAUGCCAUCACUGCCCAGCCUCUUUUUGUGACUUUACAUCUUCAUUUCACUGAUGGAGAAGGUUGGGUCUUAGUCCAGGAGCCUCUUCUGGAUUCAGUCCCCUCAGCUGGGCCAUGCCUUCCUGGGGAGGCUGGUGGCUUUGGGGAGUGCUUUGAAACUAUGGUCUGCAGUUUGGACUGCAGGGGGCCCCUGGUGACCUGAGAGCACUCGGCACUGGGUGAUUGGUUCUUUGGUGCCAGUGGUCUGCCCCAGAACAGCUCUCCACCCUGGGAGACUGCACUCCAUAGUGUUGUCCUCCAGAAGAAGUCUGGGUGCUAGCGCGCUGCCGGUCACGUGGCCAGUGAGUGCCGUGGUCUGUGGUGGGUGAUGGGCCACAGACUACUCUGACCGCCUGAAUGUGUCCCAGGAAGGGAGGCUCCUGUAGAGGGGGGGGGGGCGAGACCUUGCUGACCUUGCGCUGACAAUCUCCUUUGCUCACGUGGGCCGCAGCACGGUGAGUCUGGUGCCAAUUUGGGAGAUUGAAGGUUUUUCUCAUGUAAGUUAGGGAGCCAGGAGGCCUGGGUUUAUUCCUACUGCGCGCUCCUGGCCACCAGUGUCCACCUCUUCCUCACUGUUUCUCAGCCUGGCCACAACCCUAGAGAAUCUCUACUCCUUCUCCUCCUCCUGCUUCAUCCUUCUCCCUCUCUCCCUUCCUCUUCAGGAUCUCAAGCAGCACAGCCUGGCCUCAAACUCAGAUCCUCUGCCUCCACCUCGAGGGCGCUGGAAUUAUAGGUGUCAUCACACUGGGCUUAUGCAGGCAGGGCUGGGGCUCAACGUCACAGCUUCUUGUACGCUAGGCAGGGCUGGGGAUCAGCGUCACAGCUUCUUGUAGGCUAGGCAGGCACUCUCCGAGUGGCAGCAGCAACAGCGAGCGGGCUGAAAUCACAACACAAAGAUGGUAGCGAAGGGCAGAAGGGGGUGCUGACAGCUGUCGGGGACAGCGGACCUGGACCCAGCUCAGCCUAGAUUUUGCUUGUUGCUUCCCUCUUGCUGAGGGUGGGAUGAAGGUGGGCACUCCUCCCCUCCAUCCUCCAGCAGUGUGUGCAGCUUGCUCUCUCACUGCCAGCCUCUUUCCUGGUUUGAGGGUUCUCCCAGAUACUCCUGGGGAGGUCCUGAGUAGCACUGUUGUGUUGUCCCCAGAGAAUCCAGUGCUUUGAUUUGUCCCCACUGUGCGUUCUCCUGUUGCUGAAGGGAGCUUGGGGUUCAGGGCGACUAGGGAAAACUGCCUGUGGACCCAGUCCUGGCUCAGAGAGCAAGCAGACCCCACAGAAAGGUUCUACCCCUCCACCAGCCACCCGGGAGCCAGACCUCUCUCCUAGCAUGCUACAGGAAACCCCAGGGUCCCGCAACCCUGCUGCUGUCCCUGCAGGGAGAGGACGGUGUCUGAGCAGAGUAACAGUGACGACAGAGAAGGGGGAGGAGCGAGUCUGCUCUGGCAGCGAGUUCUCUGGCAGGUCCCUGCGGUGGUAGGGAGGCACCUCCCAUUCUGGUGCCUCCCCCUGGAUUGUGACCCCACAAGCUCACAAACAUUUUAAAACCAUGUUAAACACGCCAGUGUUUAGCAUGUACACUGACACACUCCUUUCUUUAAAAGCUUUCAUUUUAUGUGUGAGUGCUUUGCGUGCAUUUACCUGUACACCACAUGUGUGCCCUGGCGCCUGCAGAUGUCAGGAGAAGGAGCUGGAUUCACGCUGGAGCUAGGGUCACUAGAGUUAAGGAUGGUUGUAAACCACCAUGUGAGUGUUGGAACCAGGUCCUCUAUAGGAGCAGGAAGUGCUCUUAAGCACUGAGCCAUCCCCUCUAGCCCCUACUGACACAUUUGAAGCAACAUGAGAUGGUAACAAGGUGUCUUUGACCUGGGGUCUGCAAGGUGCUGGACCCUUGUGCUAUAGGACAAUGGGAAUGGCACAGAAUCCCAAAGGUUACUGUUGAGGCUGGAGCGGAAGCUGAGCAGAGUGGGGCCAACAGAUCCCAGCUGGGGAUACCGACUAUUCCAGCCACAUUGCCGCCUCUGGACUCACCACCAGCUCCCCGUCCUCUGCUUCUAUCUGUCCACAACGGUCCUCAGUUGGCUGAAGUGCUCUCAGGUCACAGGGCAGGUAACCACCAGUCACCUGUUGCUGGAUCCCAACCCCCAACACUCUGGGUCCCAUAGGGAUGGAUGGCUCCGACCUGCUAAGCUAUGCCUUGGGGUACCCAGGCUGUUGUCCCCUACUUCACUCCGUCCCUUCAGCUCAUGAAGGAAACUUAGCCAGGCUGUCAGAGUUCUAGAGUGAGCCAAUACCUGCUGCCCGCAUGCCGGGCGCCAGCAAGGAGCUGCCAACUUUCUAGAGCUGCAAGGGAGAUUGGAGGGGCAGUGAUGAUAGCAGUCUCCAGGGCAAAACAGGCAGGUGCAGAGCAGGUAGCCUUCAGUUUUGCUCUGGCUUUGACACAGGGGUCAGAGAAGUUUAAAGAGGGGGGAGGGGCUCUUCAGUAGGAACCCAGCUGAGCACCCAGAAUAAACUUUCUGAUGCCCAGAAGUUCCUCUCUCUCUCUCUCUCUCUCUCUCUCUCUCUCUCUCUCACACACACACACACACACAAACACGCACAUACACACACAUCUCCUGGUGAGCGCCAGCUGAGAGCCACAGACUGGGUCAGGAGCAGCAGUAGUGGAGUGUGACCACAAUGGCACCUUCACUGACAUAUAACUCCCUGUCACAUAGCUCACCUGUUUAGAGUGCACAGUCUGUUAGAUUUCAGUGUGUCACAGAUAAGCACAGCACUCACCACAAGCACAGGAGCAUUUUCAUGGACUUAAGGACGCUGUCUGAAGAGUGCUUGUGUAGCAAACAGAAAGCCCAGGGUUCAAUUUCCAGGCCACCGAAACCAAGUGUGGUGGGGUGCCUGGGAGCCCAGCUCUGGGGAAGUGGAUGAGAGAAUCAGGAGUUCAAAGCUUCGUUGCAAGUUUGAAGUCAGCCUGGGCUACAAGAGACCUAGGGGGAAAUGCACCCCUCAGGAUCCCCUGUCCUCUCAACCACGAGCUGCCAUUCUUCCCAUGACGGUGGAUUUGUCUGCUUGGGGUGUUCCCUGUGAGCGGAAUCUUCCGCUCUGCGUGCCUGUGGCUGGCUUCUUUCUCUCGGUGUGUUUCAGGGUUCCUUCCUGUGGAGCGUGUACCGGAACUCUACAUCUCCCCACACCAACAUCCACUGGGUUUACGCUGCAUCUGAAUUUCUUCCGUGUCCUAGACGCCGCAGUUUAAGGACCUACCAGUUCUCCAGGCGUAGCUGCGCGCUCCAGCCACCUUCUUUUAUCCGUCACCUUUGAAGCCAACGGACCCAAAUCUCCAGCCUAAACACGCCGCCACGAUGACUAGAUGUGAAGAAUUAUCUGGGGGCGAAUUAGGAGUCCCUCCAGACAGGCUCCACCGCUAGGAUCUUCGCGCUCUUGCCCUGUCUCCUCAAGCCCCUCCUCGAAGUCGGGCCUGCAGCCGCCGUGUCUGCGGUUCUCGCUUCGGGCGCUGGCGGGCCACCAGUUCCGGCUUAGCCCUCUCGGCCCUCUCCGCCGGCCAGCACGGUGGCCCCUGCUUCCCUGGACCUCAGUCUGCCGGGUUCGUUGCAGAAGAUUGUCGUACUUGUACUGCUAUUAUUUUGAAGAACGAAUUAACUGCAGGGGAGCCAAGAGGAGGGAUGUUCGCGGCUGGGGCCGUUGGCUUCGGUGGCCGCCCUGGCGGGGCCCUCCAGAGAGGGAGUGGGCCGGCGGGAAUUAGCGUGGC